rfam:Caloramator quimbayensis strain TSBA 833 genome assembly, contig: Ga0105845_107
GGGCCUUUAGCUCAGUUGGCUAGAGCAACCGGCUCAUAACCGGUCGGUCCGGGGUUCGAAUCCCUGAAGGCCCA